rnacentral:tRNA from 1 species
UAGCUCAGUUGGUAGAGCAUCGGUUUUGUAAACCGGUGGUCGUAGGUUCAAAUCCU